rnacentral:rRNA from 1 species
AGCAGCCGCGGUAAUUCCAGCUCCAAUAGCGUAUAUUAAAGUUGUUGCAGUUAAAAAGCUCGUAGUUGAACUUCAGACCUGGCUGGAUGGUCUGCCUAACGGUAUGUACUGUCUGGCUGGGCCUUACCUCUUGGUGAGCCGGCAUGCCCUUCACUGGGUGUGUCGGGGAACCAGGACUUUUACCUUGAAAAAAUUAGAGUGUUUAAAGCAGGCUCACGCUUGAAUACAUUAGCAUGGAAUAAUGAAAUAGGACGUUUGACUCUAUUUUGUUGGUUUCUAGGAUCGACGUAAUGAUUAAUAGGGAUAGUUGGGGGCAUUAGUAUUCAAUUGUCAGAGGUGAAAUUCUUGGAUUUAUUGAAGACUAACUACUGCGAAAGCAUUUGCCAAGGAUGUUUUCAUUAAUCAAGAACGAAAGUUAGGGGAUCGAAGACGAUCAGAUACCGUCGUAGUCUUAACCAUAAACUAUGCCGACUAGGGAUCGGAUG